GGCUGGUCUGAAGGUUGUGAGUUAUCUGAAAUGAUUGUUCACAGUCAAUUACAUAUGGAAACUCUUGUUCUACUCUUUCCUUGUCACUACUGCACUUGACUGGUCUUCA
rnacentral:Y_RNA from 1 species